GCAGUCGUGGCCGAGUGGUUAAGGCAAUGGACUAGAAAUCUAUUGGGAUCUCCCCGCACAGGUUCGAAUCCUGUCGACUGCG
rnacentral:tRNA from 1 species